UCGAGAAUCUUCGGCAAUGGGCGCAAGCCUGACCGAGCGACGCCGCGUGCGGGAUGAAGGCCUUCGGGUUGUAAACCGCUGUCGGAGGGGAGGAAAUGCUAUGAGGUACUCCUCAUAGUUUGACCUAGCCUCAAAGGAAGGACGGGCUAAGUUCGUGCCAGCAGCCGCGGUAAGACGAACCGUCCAAACGUUAUUCGGAAUCACUGGGCUUAAAGGGUGCGUAGGCGGCCCUGAAAGUUGGGUGUGAAAUCCCUCGGCUCAACCGAGGAACUGCGCCCAAAACUACAGGGCUUGAGGGAGACAGAGGUGAGCGGAACUUGCGGUGGAGCGGUGAAAUGCGUUGAUAUCGCAAGGAACACCAGUGGCGUAAGCGGCUCACUGGGUCUCUUCUGACGCUGAGGCACGAAAGCUAGGGGAGCGAACG
rnacentral:rRNA from 1 species